rnacentral:rRNA from 2 species
CGAGCGGUAGAGAGAAGCUUGCUUCUCUUGAGAGCGGCGGACGGGUGAGUAAUGCCUAGGAAUCUGCCUGGUAGUGGGGGAUAACGCUCGGAAACGGACGCUAAUACCGCAUACGUCCUACGGGAGAAAGCAGGGGACCUUCGGGCCUUGCGCUAUCAGAUGAGCCUAGGUCGGAUUAGCUAGUUGGUGAGGUAAUGGCUCACCAAGGCGACGAUCCGUAACUGGUCUGAGAGGAUGAUCAGUCACACUGGAACUGAGACACGGUCCAGACUCCUACGGGAGGCAGCAGUGGGGAAUAUUGGACAAUGGGCGAAAGCCUGAUCCAGCCAUGCCGCGUGUGUGAAGAAGGUCUUCGGAUUGUAAAGCACUUUAAGUUGGGAGGAAGGGCAGUAAAUUAAUACUUUGCUGUUUUGACGUUACCGACAGAAUAAGCACCGGCUAACUCUGUGCCAGCAGCCGCGGUAAUACAGAGGGUGCAAGCGUUAAUCGGAAUUACUGGGCGUAAAGCGCGCGUAGGUGGUUCGUUAAGUUGGAUGUGAAAUCCCCGGGCUCAACCUGGGAACUGCAUUCAAAACUGUCGAGCUAGAGUAUGGUAGA